rnacentral:rRNA from 1 species
UACGUAGGGUCCGAGCGUUAAUCGGAAUUACUGGGCGUAAAGCGUGCGCAGGCGGCUAUGCAAGACAGAUGUGAAAUCCCCGGGCUCAACCUGGGAACUGCAUUUGUGACUGCAUGGCUAGAGUACGGUAGAGGGGGAUGGAAUUCCGCGUGUAGCAGUGAAAUGCGUAGAGAUGCGGAGGAACACCGAUGGCGAAGGCAGCCCCCUGGGCUAACACUGACGCUCAGGCACGAAAGCGUGGGGAGCAAACAGG